GUUUCACCGUGUUAACCAGGAUGGGACAAUGGUGAUCUUGAUGAGAAUGAGGACGGACUUUGAGCAGGGUUGAGAAGCAAGGGUAGUGAGGCUGGGUUUCCUGUGUCUCUAGGUAAGUCCCGUAGCUUUCCGUCAGCCCAUGCCACACCUUCUUCCUGGGGACCCUUCUGUGUGCGGUGUGGAGAGUAGCUUAGGAUCUGGUCAAAAGUGAAAUGACAGCAUACUUGAGUACGAGUGCAAUGUUGACUUGUCAGUUGAAUGAGAAAGAGUAAAGGAGAGAUCCACAAAAGCAGGGGUUUAAAAUCAGAAAUUUCUCAGAAAGAAGGUUUGUUGUUGUUUUGGAGACAAGGUCUGGCUCUGUUGCCCAGGCUGGAGUGUAGUAGCGCGAUCAUGGCUCACUGCGUUGUUGAACUCCUGGGUUCAAAGGAUCCACCUCAGCCUCCUGAGUAGCUGGAACUACAGGUGUACACCACCAUGCCUGGCUAGUUAUUUUUUAUUUCGUGUAGAGACUGGGUCUUGCUUUGUUCUCCAGGCUGGUCUUGAACUCCUGGGCUCAAGUGAUCCUCUCAGCUCAGCCUCCUGAAGUGCUGAGAUUAUAGGAGUGAGCCACUGCACCUAGCCAGAAAUAAAGUUUUGAACUCAGUUUGGAAAGGGGGAAAAAGCCUGAAUUGGCCAAGAAGGCAAAGGACAUAUACUGUACUAAAAAUCAGGAAGACGGAAGUACCUGGGAGACACCUAUGGAUAAUUGGUUUUUGAAUAAAGGUGAUGAUUUAUUCAGAGGAAAAUCCAAUUAGCUAACCAAAUCUGUUUUCAUAUUUACUUAGAAUAUAUCUCCUUCAUCACAUGACUUGUAGUGACCUAGAGGAUGAUGACCUAAUCUACCACAGGGGUCUUUCAACAUGUGGAGUGUCCCAUGCUUGGAGAAGGUUGAUGUGCUUGCAUGGACUGUCCUGUGCCUGAGCGAGCCCCGCCCUUGUCUGCAGACUCUGGCUGCCUGGACAGGCAAAGGGAAAUGGAUGGGUCACCCUGAUGCCUCCGAGCCCGGUGACAGGAGCUAAGGAUGGCAAAUACAGACCGAGGGGCCACCUUGCCACUGCCUGACCCUCCAGGGAGCUUGGGCGCCGUCCCAUUUCUUAAACUCCUGGCAGUUGCCCAAUAAAUGGCUGUGCUGGAGAGUGUGGAGCCGAAGUCAACCAGCCUUAUCCCUUCAGGAGACCUGAAUUUAUAAAUGGUGGUCAGGAUGAAUACAAACAGGAUUCCUCCCCCAGUUCACGUUUGUGACAUCUGGAGAGAUGUAUGGGUUUGUCCUGGGUCAUUGUCACCACAUUGGAUGCAGGGGGAAUAAAGGAUAGGGCGGUUGUUAAUACAUACCCCACAUUUAACCAAGAAAAGCCACAGAGGAAGGUACUGCUUCAUAAAACCAAUGUCCCUUGAGCAUGUCCCUUAAUAUGCCACAGACACUAUGCCAAGCCCAUCACAGGCAUUGUCUCCUGUCCUCACCCCACCCUAUGGGUAGGGCCUGUUAGCCCCAUUUUACAGAGGAGGAGGAGCGCUCCCAGAGUCACUGCCCGCAGGUAAGUGGGAGAGGCUGUGCCUCCAGCACUGUCAAGGACGGGGGCACUGGACCCCAUUUCUGAUGAACCGAAUCUUCGUCUGAGUGGGCCUUGGUAGCGCAGUCUCACAACCUUUCUCAACUUUCUCACUAAAGCUGCUCAAGCAACAGAGGACAGAGACACUGAGGGAUGUGGACACAGUCCAAGGUGGCAGCCUUAGGUGGAGAGUUCUCUGGAGUUUUACCAAAACCAAAAGUUUUAUUUCAUAAUAUAUGCUUUUUGUUGUCUUACUGGGUAAAAUACAACAUAAAAUAUACCAUCCUAACCAUUUUUGAGUGUGCAUUUGGUGACAUUAAGUUCCUUCACAGUGAUGUGUAGCUAUCACACGCCCAUCUCCAGAGCUCCUUCCUCACCACAAAACAGCUCCCCGCCCCAGCCUCCAGCACCCCCAUUCCAGCUCUGUCUCUGUGAAUUUGACUACUCCAGGAACCUCACAAGGAGUGGAACGACCCACUAUUCAUU
rnacentral:lncRNA from 10 species